rnacentral:rRNA from 1 species
AUGAACGCUAGCUACAGGCUUAACACAUGCAAGUCGAGGGGCAGCAUUUUAGUUUGCUUGCAAACUAAAGAUGGCGACCGGCGCACGGGUGAGUAACACGUAUCCAACCUACCGAUAACUCUGGAAUAGCCUUUCGAAAGAAAGAUUAAUACCGGAUAGUAUACGAAUAUCGCAUGAUAUUUUUAUUAAAGAAUUUCGGUUAUCGAUGGGGAUGCGUUCCAUUAGUUUGUUGGCGGGGUAACGGCCCACCAAGACUACGAUGGAUAGGGGUUCUGAGAGGAAGGUCCCCCACAUUGGAACUGAGACACGGUCCAAACUCCUACGGGAGGCAGCAGUGAGGAAUAUUGGUCAAUGGGCGCAGGCCUGAACCAGCCGAGUAGCGUGAAGGAUGACUGCCCUAUGGGUUGUAAACUUCUUUUAUAUGGGAAUAAAGUUUUCCACGUGUGGAAUUUUGUAUGUACCAUAUGAAUAAGGAUCGGCUAACUCCGUGCCAGCAGCCGCGGUAAUACGGAGGAUCCGAGCGUUAUCCGGAUUUAUUGGGUUUAAAGGGAGCGUAGGUGGAUUGUUAAGUCAGUUGUGAAAGUUUGCGGCUCAACCGUAAAAUUGCAGUUGAAACUGGCAGUCUUGAGUACAGUAGAGGUGGGCGGAAUUCGUGGUGUAGCGGUGAAAUGCUUAGAUAUCACGAAGAACUCCGAUUGCGAAGGCAGCUCACUAGACUGUCACUGACACUGAUGCUCGAAAGUGUGGGUAUCAAACAGGAUUAGAUACCCUGGUAGUCCACACAGUAAACGAUGAAUACUCGCUGUUUGCGAUAUACAGUAAGCGGCCAAGCGAAAGCAUUAAGUAUUCCACCUGGGGAGUACGCCGGCAACGGUGAAACUCAAAGGAAUUGACGGGGGCCCGCACAAGCGGAGGAACAUGUGGUUUAAUUCGAUGAUACGCGAGGAACCUUACCCGGGCUUAAAUUGCAGAUGAAUUACGGUGAAAGCCGUAAGCCGCAAGGCAUCUGUGAAGGUGCUGCAUGGUUGUCGUCAGCUCGUGCCGUGAGGUGUCGGCUUAAGUGCCAUAACGAGCGCAACCCUUAUCUUUAGUUACUAACAGGUUAUGCUGAGGACUCUAGAGAGACUGCCGUCGUAAGAUGUGAGGAAGGUGGGGAUGACGUCAAAUCAGCACGGCCCUUACGUCCGGGGCUACACACGUGUUACAAUGGGGGGUACAGAAGGCAGCUACACGGCGACGUGAUGCUAAUCCCAAAAACCUCUCUCAGUUCGGAUCGAAGUCUGCAACCCGACUUCGUGAAGCUGGAUUCGCUAGUAAUCGCGCAUCAGCCAUGGCGCGGUGAAUACGUUCCCGGGCCUUGUACACACCGCCCGUCAAGCCAUGAAAGCCGGGGGUACCUGAAGUACGUAACCGCAAGGAGCGUCCUAGGGUAAAACUGGUAAUUGGGGCU